AUUGAACGCUGGCGGAAUGCUUUACACAUGCAAGUCGAACGGCAGCACGGGGGCAGCCCUGGUGGCGAGUGGCGAACGGGUGAGUAAUACAUCGGAACGUGCCCGGUCGUGGGGGAUAACGUAGCGAAAGUUACGCUAAUACCGCAUACGAUCUGAGGAUGAAAGCGGGGGACCUUCGGGCCUCGCGCGAUCGGAGCGGCCGAUGUCAGAUUAGGUAGUUGGUGGGGUAAAGGCCUACCAAGCCGACGAUCUGUAGCUGGUCUGAGAGGACGACCAGCCACACUGGGACUGAGAAACGGCCCAGACUCCUACGGGAGGCAGCAGUGGGGAAUUUUGGACAAGGGGCGCAAGCCUGAUCCAGCCAUUCCGCGUGCAGGACGAAGGCCUUCGGGUUGUAAACUGCUUUUGUACGGAACGAAAAGGCUCUGGCUAAUACCGGGGGCUCAUGACGGUACCGUAAGAAUAAGCACCGGCUAACUACGUG
rnacentral:rRNA from 1 species